GGAGAGGUGUCCGAGUGGUUUAAGGAAACGGUCUUGAAAACCGUCGUGCCGGAAACGGUACCGUGGGUUCGAAUCCCACCCUCUCCGCCA
rnacentral:tRNA from 1 species